GAUGAAGAACGUAGCGAAAUGCGAUACUUGGUGUGAAUUGCAGAAUCCCGUGAACCAUCGAGUCUUUGAACGCAAGUUGCGCCCGAAGCCAUUAGGCCGAGGGCACGCCUGCCUGGGUGUCACACGUCGUUGCCCCCCCAUCUACUCCUUCGGGAUUGCGGGGCGGAUGAUGGCCUCCCGUGCGCCUCGUCGCGCGGUUGGCAUAAAUGCCAAGUCCUCGGCGACGCACGCCACGACAAUCGGUGGUUGCGAAACCUCGGUUGCCCGUCGUGUGCGGUCGUCGCGCAUCGAGGGCUCGAAAAAAUUGCCGGGCUCCGGCUCGGCUUUCAACGCGACCCCAGGUCAGGCGGGGUUACCCGCUGAAUUUAAGCAUAUCAAUAAGCGGAGGA
rnacentral:misc_RNA from 1 species